GCAGUGGUGGUUCAGUGGUAGAAUUCUUGCCUUCUACUCAGGAGACCCAGGUUCAAUUCCUGGCUAAUGUG